rnacentral:rRNA from 1 species
UCAGUCGACUCCUACGGGGAGGCAGCAGUGGGGGAAUAUUGCACAAUGGGCGCAAGCCUGAUGCAGCCAUGCCGCGUGUGUGAAGAAGGCCUUCGGGUUGUUAAAGCACUUUCAGUCGUGAGGAAGGUAGUGUAGUUAAUAGCUGCAUUAUUUGACGUUAGCGACAGAAGAAGCACCGGCUAACUCCGUGCCAGCAGCCGCGGUAAUACGGAGGGUGCGAGCGUUAAUCGGAAUUACUGGGCGUAAAGCGCAUGCAGGUGGUUUGUUAAGUCAGAUGUGAAAGACCCGGGGCUCAACCUCGGAAUUGCAUUUGAAACUGGCAGACUAGAGUACUGUAGAGGGGGGUAGGAAUUUCAGGUGUAGCGGUGAAAUGCGUAGAGAUCUGAAGGAAUACCGGUGGCGAAGGCGGCCCCCUCGGACAGAUACUGACACUCAGAUGCGAAAGCGUGGGGAGCAAACAGGAUUAGAUACCCUGGUAG